rnacentral:rRNA from 1 species
CCUACGGGAGGCAGCAGUGGGGAAUCUUGCGCAAUGGGGGCAACCCUGACGCAGCCAUGCCGCGUGAAUGAUGAAGGCCUUAGGGUUGUAAAGUUCUUUUGCCCGUGACGAUGAUGACGGUAACGGGAGAAUAAGCUCCGGCUAACUUCGUGCCAGCAGCCGCGGUAAUACGAAGGGGGCUAGCGUUGUUCGGAAUUACUGGGCGUAAAGCGCGCGCAGGCGGUUCGAUAAGUUAGGGGUGAAAUCCCUGGGCUCAACCCAGGAAUGGCCUUUAAGACUGUCGAGCUAGAGGACGAGAGAGGUGAGUGGAAUUCCCAGUGUAGAGGUGAAAUUCGUAGAUAUUGGGAAGAACACCGGUGGCGAAGGCGGCUCACUGGCUCGUUUCUGACGCUGAGGCGCGAAAGCGUGGGGAGCAAACAGGAUUAGAUACCCUGGUAGUCCACGCCCUAAACGAUGAGUGCCAGGUGUCGGGAAGCUUAGCUUCUCGGCGCCGCAGCUAACGCCUUAAGCACUCCGCCUGGGGAGUACGGCCGCAAGGUUAAACUCAAAGGAAUUGACGG